CCUGAGUAGCAUCUGAACUGCAAGUGCAAGUUCCAGGUCUGACUAGUUAAACCACUUCAGCUUAGGUUAUCAAAUUCAGAGUUGUUUUGGAAGGUGAUGAAGUCCAAAGGCAGGAGUCUUGGAUGGAUGAGAAUUCCCUUCUCAGAGAUGUGCUUUGCUGCUUUCCCUAGAAAUCACCGAGUCCUUGGAAAUCAGGCCUUUGGGUGGAAGUACCAGCUUAAGACCCUUGUCUUAUGGAAAUGAGCUGUUUAUUCUUGGUGGAAGAUGUCCUUGAAGAGUACUAUGAGACCUGGAGGGAUGAUUGCAGAGGUUGGAACACAAUAUAUUUGAUCCUCAUGAUUUCAACGUCUGGAGUGAUGACUGGAUUUCUGUGUGACUCUCUCUUUCUAGCUGCUGAAAACAUGUUUGAUUUAAUGAGAAGAUCCUUCAAAAUCCACAUAAAUGAAUUUGUUAGGGCUUCUUAAUUGUAUAUGAAAGUAUUUGUCAUUACUCUAAUGAGAAAACAACUAGAAUCUUCCUAUCAUAUUCUGGGAAUAUCAGAAGCAUAACAAUUCAGGGGAAAAUGAAAAAAAAAAUACCUUUGGAACCUUCUCAUCUGGCUAAAACUAAAUCUAACUCCAGAAGGUAGAGUCUGGCAAAGGGCAGGUUUUGUGCAGAAAUUUCUUCUCUAGCUCUGGAGAUGACUUUAAUAGUCAAAGGUUGAGAUUAGUAUAUUUAAAGGCUAAACAUCCCUAUCUUUAAUUUUAAUAAAGAAGCAGAUCAAAAUUAUUAUUAUUAUUAUUUAUGAUUGCCCCCAUGGCAUAUAUAAGUUCCCCUGCCAAAGACUGAAUCUAAGCUGCAGCUGCAACCUACACUGUAGCUACAACAAUGUGAGGAUCAUUUAAUGCACUAUGUGGGGCUAAGGAUUGAACCUGCACCUCCAUAGUGACCAGAGCUGCUGCAGUCGGAUUCUUAACACACUGCACCACAGUGGGAACUCCAGAUUGAUAUUAUCGAAUGAACUGGAGAAGGUGACAGUCAUAUGGUCCUUUAGGAGGACCUUUUGAUAAGACAUUCUUGGGGAUCCCAUUUAGUUAGCGAAGAUAAAAAAAAUGUAGCUUAUGAAAUGACAACUGGGACUUUGCAGUUUAAAGUAGAUUAGUGUUUCUCAAUGGGAGCCUGUUUUAUACCCCAGGAAACACUUGGUAAUGUCUGAAGCAUUUCUGCAUUUCACAACAGGGAGGUUGUCCCUGGCAUCUAGUAGUAGUGGCUAGGGAUGUUGCUAAACACCCUACAAUGCCCAGGUCAGCCUUCCACCAUACCCAGCCCCAAAUGUCAAUAGUGCUAAGGUUGAGAAACAUUGAUUUACAUGCACCAUGGCUCAGGCUCCACUCUGUCACUCGGUGGGUAGGAUGGACAGUUAUUUAGCCUCUAUGUUAUUUCAGCUGAAAAGAAUGGUCAUUUCUUCCUUUGUACCCUAUUGGGUCCUUCAUAGAUGUGUGUCAUAGAGUGUACAGUGUACAGAGUACACUGUUUGUACUCUGUAUGACUUGGAUAGUGUACAUUACCUCUCUGUGCCUCAGUUUUGUCUAUGAAAUGGGAAUGUUAAUACUAUUAACCUCAGACCAUUGUUGUGAAGGUUAAGUGAGCUAAGACAUAUGACAAGCUUGUCAUUGUGUUUGUCAUACUAGGUGGCUUAAUAAAUGGUAAUAAUGAUAGUUUUUGUUAUUUAUAACUCAUUUAGCUGUUUGCCCAUGCUAAGUGAUAAAUAAGUCUCUUUAGAGCAGGAAUUGUGUUUGACGUAUCAUAGAUGUUUAAUGUUUGUUUGAUGGAUGACUAAAUGAAUCCCUUUAAAUCUCAUAAUCUUCAUCUGUGAAAUGGGGUCAUAUUUCACUUGUUAUUGUUACAUUUAAUAAGAUAAGACAAAGGGUUAAUAAAGAAACUAAUGCAUACA
ensembl:lncRNA